rnacentral:rRNA from 1 species
GACGAACGCUGGCGGCGUGCUUAACACAUGCAAGUCGAACGGAAAGGCCCUGCUUUUGUGGGGUGCUCGAGUGGCGAACGGGUGUGUAACACGUGAGUAACCUGCCCUUGACUUUGGGAUAACUUCAGGAAACUGGGGCUAAUACCGGAUAGGAGCUCCUGCUGCAUGGUGUGGGUUGGAAAGUUUCGGCGGUUGGGGAUGGACUCGCGGCUUAUCAGCUUGUUGGUGAGGUAGUGGCUUACCAAGGCUUUGACGGGUAGCCGGCCUGAGAGGGUGACCGGCCACAUUGGGACUGAGAUACGGCCCAGACUCCUACGGGAGGCAGCAGUGGGGAAUAUUGCACAAUGGGCGGAAGCCUGAUGCAGCAACGCCGCGUGCGGGAUGACGGCCUUCGGGUUGUAAACCGCUUUCGCCUGUGACGAAGCGUGAGUGACGGUAAUGGGUAAAGAAGCACCGGCUAACUACGUG